GAUUUGAAUUUCUAACAAGUUCCAGGUGAUACUGAUGGAGCUGAGCCCAGCACCACAUUUUUUAGUGUUUUCAAGGAUGAGAUGGUGGUGGGUCCCAAGGACUGGAGGAGCCACCGAAUGUGAUGGCUUUUCGGGCUCCCAUUCCCCUGACUGAGUAGAUGCAGCAUGUUUGGAGACCCAGAAAACUGACCCAAUCAAGAGAACAUUCUCAUACAGAGGGAGAAGUCCUGGAAUCAAGUGCAGAGCUAUCUUAACCAGUUGCUAAAUCUAGGGGCACCAGUUGUAGACCAAGAUGUCACAGUGGCUGUGACCAGGCUGAAGACUCUUUCCUCCAAGAUGCAGAUGUGUUUCACAUAGACAUAGAGUCCUCAGAUGAGGCCAAUCGUGGACUUGGCCAAGGACUGGCCUUCAUGGGAUGCUGAAUGUUCCUGCAGCUGAAUUUGGUGAAACCUGGAAUAAGGGCAGAGUGAAGCCAGAGGACUGCCUAGCUCAGCACUGCACCCAUCUUCACGGAUUGUGAAUCUGUUCAAACUUGAAUGUGCAUACAAAUCACCUAAUUCUGAUUCACUAGAUCUGGGUUGAAUCUUCAAUUGCUGCAUUUCUAAGAGUCUCCCAGGCAAUGCUGCAGCUGAUCUUAACACCACACUUUGCACAGCAAGAUUCUAGACUCUUCAACCAUCAUUCCCCUGGAGAAGAGUCUAGCUUAAUGGAAAACCAGAGAGUUGAUAUUAGAAAGAGCAUUUAUUUGUGAAAUACCUAGUAUUGGUCAGGAACUGUGCCAAGGACUUUCUGUGCCUUGUUUAAUUCUGGUCAUAGCUUUGUAAGCCAGGCAAUGUUAUCCUUAUUUGAGAAUAAAAUUAUAAUACAAGGGUUUUGGGUUGCCUGUCCAUUGUGUUACAGUGUGGAUAAAGGAUGACCACACUUACAAUACUGGGCAUGGUGCCAUGAAUGUAAUAAAACAUAAUAAAUAGAUUGAUGUGA